rnacentral:lncRNA from 1 species
GGGUCCCGACGAGAAUUAUAAAUAUUCAAACUUGUUUCAAUUGGGUCAGACCCAAAAAAUUCCUUCUUUCUUCUUCUUGUGUUCCAAUCAAGAUUGAUGGUAAUAGUAGUAAUAUAUAAAAUUGUAGAUCUAUAAAUCAGUAUUCGAUUUCUUUCACAGUUUCAAAUUCAAAUGGAAAUUACAAUUCAUUGCUUGUUAGGGAAAAUGGAG